UACGAAGGGGGCUAGCGUUGCUCGGAAUUACUGGGCGUAAAGCGCACGUAGGCGGCUUUCUAAGUCGGGGGUGAAAUCCUGGAGCUCAACUCCAGAACUGCCUUCGAUACUGGAAAGCUCGAGUCCGGGAGAGGUGAGUGGAACUGCGAGUGUAGAGGUGAAAUUCGUAGAUAUCAAGCAGAACACCUGCGGCGAAGGCGGCCUUCUGGACGAUGACUGACGCUGAGACGCGAAAGCGUGGGGAGCAAACAGG
rnacentral:rRNA from 1 species